UACGUAGGUGGCAAGCGUUGUCCGGAUUUACUGGGCGUAAAGAGCGCGCAGGCGGUCGUUCAAGUCGCGUGUGAAAGCCCCCGGCUCAACUGGGGAGGGUCACGCGAUACUGAUCGACUCGAAGGCAGGAGAGGGUAGUGGAAUUCCCGGUGUAGUGGUGAAAUGCGUAGAUAUCGUAAGGAAGACCAGUGGCGAAGGCGGAUCUCUGGACAGUUACUGACACUGAGGCACGGAAGGCCAGGGGAGACAAACGGG
rnacentral:rRNA from 1 species